UGUCGUCGCACUAAAUGUAUAAACACUGCUCCUCAUCUUAUUUGGUACAGGUUUAUUUACUUCCCAUGAAAAUUCUCGAUAAACAAUGGUUGCUGUGGCUGUCUUUUUCAUUCUGAUAUUUUCAGACCUCUCGUUAAUGAAUCUAAUUUAUGUGUCAAAUAGAGAGAUCUAUAUUUAUGUGUGAAAUGUUCAGUCAACCUUUUCAACGAAUAACACCAGAAACUUGCCAAGGCUCCAUGAACAAGAGAAAAAG